GUUCGAAUUGUUUUCAAUUUUUCAAAUGAUUUAUCUUGAAAAAUGUAAUGGACUUUAACAAUGACUUCUGAAGAUAAGUUAUUUGAAAAGUUUUUCUAAAAGAUUGCGAUUGUUUGAAAACCUUAUCUAGUAGAAUUGAAAACCAAGGCCACAGUCUUUCAGUAUCUUUUUUUUCUUUUUCAUAAGCAUCCUUUUAUAUACAUGACAAGCGAUUUCGUGAAGAUGGUGAUGAUAAAUGUAAAAUUGCUAAACCCAAGCAACUCUGAAAUAUUUCAUAAACCAUUCAGGUCUGAACUCAACUUUAAGAGCUCAGCAUAACUUAAACAUUUUUGGCAACAGCUUUAGUAAACAACAAAAUAAAGGGAGACAUUAGAGUACUGGAACUUGAGUGUAUAUUGCCAUAUCAUCCUGUUUUAGGUUCAUUUUUUUCCCCUUAUUUCUUAUUCGUGGUUGACACAUAAUAUGGUGUAAAUUUAGAGGGCACAUAUUAACCACCUCAAUGCCAGAAGAGUGGGUGCAGUUCUUUAUAACCCCUUGUGUCCAGGGAUGCUUGCAACAGAUUUAAAAAGUGAUUUUCUAUAAUUUUUUAUAUUAUAAUUCUAUAAGAAACACAAAAAAAAAUGUGAAAUGGCGCUUAAAAAAUUAAAAUAAAACAAAAACAAGUAGCUGCAAAAACUUCUUAAAAACUAUGAUUUUUUUUUUACACAAUAGUAACAAUAUUAACCAACAGGCAAUAGGGGUGCGCUUGUAAUACGUAUCGUUAAGAUUCAGGAUA